UGGGCGCAGCCUGAUCAGCCAUGCCGCGUGUGUGAAGAAGGCCUUCGGGUUGUAAAGCACUUUUGUCGGGGAGGAAGGUGCUCUAGUUAAUACCCUUGGCGAUUGACGGUACCUGCAAAAUAAGCCCCGGCUAACUCCGGGCCCACAGCCGCGGUAAUACGGAAGGGGCAAGCGUUAAUCGGAAUUACUGGGCGUAAAGCGGGGGGUAGUGGUUUGAUUAAAUCGAUGUGAAAUCCCCGGGCUUUCCUGGGAAAUUGAUUUCAGACUGGGUGGCUAGAAGGAGGCAGAAGGAUGGAGAAAUUCCCGGUGAAGGUGGAUGGCAUAGAUCUCUGGGGAACAGAUGGGAGGGCGGCCCCCUGGACCUAACUGACGCUCUGGUGCGAAAGCGUGUGGAGCAAACAGGAUUAUAUACCCUGGGAUUCCCCGCCCUAAACGAUGUGAACUAGUUGUUUGGGGUCCUUUGACGUUUUAUCGGAACUAAUGCCGGAAUAUCUACCCCGGGGGAGGACAGCCGCCAAAAUACAAAUUCAAAUAAGUUUUGAGGGGCCCCCCCAACGGUGGAGGAUUGUGUUUUAUAUUUCGGUGCGCCGAAAACAUUCUCUACCGCUGGUCAUCCAGUAAAUUCUCCAAAGAGGUGGAUUGGUCCUUUGAAAAACUGAGAUACGGGUUGUGUGGGGGUGUCAUCGUCUCGUUGCGGGAGAUGGUGGUCAAACCCCCACAGCGAGCCCCCCCUAUCUCUUUAUUUGCCCGCGUUGCCGUGGAUGCUUUUAGGACUGUGCCUGUUUAACUUCUGUAGC
rnacentral:rRNA from 1 species